GACGAACGCUGGCGGCUUGCUUAACACAUGCAAGUCGAACGGAAAGGCCCUGCUUUUGUGGGGUGCUCGAGUGGCGAACGGGUGAGUAACACGUGAGUAACCUGCCCUUGACUUUGGGAUAACUUCAGGAAACUGGGGCUAAUACCGGAUAGGAGCUCCUGCUGCAUGGUGGGGGUUGGAAAGUUUCGGCGGUUGGGGAUGGACUCGCGGCUUAUCAGCUUGUUGGUGGGGUAGUGGCUUACCAAGGCUUUGACGGGUAGCCGGCCUGAGAGGGUGACCGGCCACAUUGGGACUGAGAUACGGCCCAGACUCCUAUGGGAGGCAGCAGUGGGGAAUAUUGCACAAUGGGCGGAAGCCUGAUGCAGCAACGCCGCGUGCGGGAUGACGGCCUUCGGGUUGUAAACCGCUUUCGCCUGUGACGAAGCGUGAGUGACGGUAAUGGGUAAAGAAGCACCGGCUAACUACGUG
rnacentral:rRNA from 1 species